CUUCAGUCAUUUCUUUGUCAUCCUCGACUGAAGCACUCCAGGUGCUGCUGGUCUUUCAACAAGUGGCGCCACUCACUGGGUCCCAAGGGGUUUGUAUAAUGUACGUGUACUCUUUACUUUAAAUUAUGGACAGCGGUGUAGUUACACGCCGUGACCACUAGAGAGCGACACGUUUCAUGACUUUGUGCUGCUGUAAGUUUAUCUGAGGAACAUACUACUUGAUAAGGAGCACUUAAGAGCCCUUGUUCAGGGUGGUCUGGGACUCAUUGUGUGUAGAUACGUUCAUAAGAUGUUCAGGAGAGUAUUUUUAACUUGGAAAUUAAUUUUACAUAUCAGCUACUGCAUCCCAGUGUUUGAUGUAGAUUACUUCCUGUUUUAAACUCUCGCUGUUGUGUGGUUUUUGGCGGUCCCUCUCCCCUGAUGACGUGCACUGGGCUCUGAGUCCGUUUGACGAGAACGUGCAUCUUUGGCCCUGACAAGCCAAAGUUUCUGAGGAGAAACUAAACCAAAGAUGGUCAGAAGUGCCAGUUGUGACAACACGCUAAACUGUUGCUUUUUUCUUCAGGUAUUUCAAGAAGUGACGCCACUCUUUACACACAGGAUUUAAAUCAGGUGCCAUUUUUCCUGCAGAAGCCAUCGGCCAUUUCAUAUUUUCUUUUUUCUUCAAAAAAGAAGCCUAAAAUCCUGUAUUUGCUCUGAUUGAUUAAACUUAACUGUUUAUAUUG